rnacentral:rRNA from 1 species
AUACGGAGGAUGCAAGCGUUAUCCGGAUUUAUUGGGUUUAAAGGGUGCGUAGGCGGUUUGCUAAGCGGGAGGUGAAAUGCCGGCGCUCAACGUCGGAAGUGCCUCCCGAACUGGUGGACUUGAAUGACUCUGCCGUGGGAGGAAUGUGUAGUGUAGCGGUGAAAUGCUUAGAGAUUACACAGAACACCGAUUGCGAAGGCAUCUCACGAGGGGUUGAUUGACGCUGAGGCCCGAAAGCGUGGGGACCAAAAAGGAUUAAAUACCCUGGUAGUCCCGGCAGUAAACGAGGAUGGCUAACCGUUGGGCUUAUCAGUUCAGUGGCCAAGCGAAAGCGAUAAGCCAUCCACCUGGGAGUACGACCGCAAGGUUGAAACUCAAAGGAAUUGACGGGG